CUGUGUAUUUCUUAUUUGUAAAUGCAGCCACCGAUCUUCUAGCCUCGACCUUGUUGAUUCUCUCGACAACUUGCAGCAUAUAUCUACCGAUGUGGCUUGCUAUAUUGAAGCGGGGCGAGCUCCACGGCACCGGCCAUGGCCUGCCACCCGGAACCAGGCGCCAUCGUAGUUUCUGUUCAUGCAGUCACAGAUCAUAGUUCAAAGAUGUCUUAAAACAAACAGAAGGGCAUGACUAUUAGUCUUGAAUUCUAUCAAUAGGUUACAUUACAUAUAUAGUAAAGAUUUGGAUGUUCAGUCAGAUAUGAAUCAUUCAUUAUUCUUUGCUUAAGAGAGAGAAAAAGCAAAUAAAAACGAAAAGGGGACAUAAGGCGUUGAUU
rnacentral:lncRNA from 1 species